rnacentral:lncRNA from 10 species
GGCUUGGGCAGGCUGCCCGGGCCGUGGCAGGAAGCCGGAAGCAGCCGCGGCCCCAGUUCGGGAGACAUGGCGGGCGUUAAAGCUCUCGUGGCAUUAUCCUUCAGUGGGGCUAUUGGACUGACUUUUCUUAUGCUGGGAUGUGCCUUAGAGGAUUAGCGUUUACUGGCCCUUAUUCGUCCUGAUUUUCCACGCCAUCUCCCCCAUCCCCCAUUUCAUUGCCAAAAGAGUCACCUAUGACUCAGAUGCAACCAGUAGUGCCUGUCGGGAACUGGCAUAUUUCUUCACUACUGGAAUUGUUGUUUCUGCCUUUGGAUUUCCUGUUAUUCUUGCUCGUGUGGCUGUGAUCAAAUGGGGAGCCUGCGGCCUUGUGUUGGCAGGCAAUGCAGUCAUUUUCCUUACAAUUCAAGGGUUUUUCCUUAUAUUUGGAAGAGGAGAUGAUUUUAGCUGGGAGCAGUGGUAGCACUUUAUUCUGAUUACAGUGCAUUGAAUUUCUUAGAACUCAUACUAUCUGUAUACAUGUGCACAUGCGGCAUUUUACUAUGAAAUUUAAUAUGCUGGGUUUUUUAAUACCUUUAUAUAUCAUGUUCACUUUAAGAAAGACUUCAUAAGUAGGAGAUGAGUUUUAUUCUCAGCAAAUAGACCUGUCAAAUUUAGAUUAUGUUACUCAAAUUAUGUUACUUGUUUGGCUGUUCAUGUAGUCACGGUGCUCUCAGAAAAUAUAUUAACGCAGUCUUGUAGGCAGCUGCCACCUUAUGCAGUGCAUCGAAACCUUUUGCUUGGGGAUGUGCUUGGAGAGGCAGAUAACGCUGAAGCAGGCCUCUCAUGACCCAGGAAGGCCGGGGUGGAUCCCUCUUUGUGUUGUAGUCCAUGCUAUUAAAAGUGUGGCCCACAGACCAAGAGCCUCAACAUUUCCUAGAGCCUUAUUAGAAAUGCAGAAUCUGAAGCCCCACUCUGGACCCAGGACAUUUUGAUGAGAUCCAAAGGAGUUGUAUGCACAUGAAAGUUUGAGAAGCAUCAUCAUAGAGAAGUAAACAUCACACCCAACUUCCUUAUCUUUCCAGUGGCUAAACCACUUAACCUCUCUGGGUGUUACCUGCUCAUUUGUUU